rnacentral:rRNA from 1 species
UAGGGAAUAUUGCAAAAUGGGCGAAAGCCCGAUGCAGCAACGCCGCGUGGGCGAUGAAGGCCUUCGGGUCGUAAAGCCCUUUUUGAGGGGAUGAGGAAGGACAGUACCCUCAGAAUAAGCCUCGGCUAACUACGUGCCAGCAGCCGCGGUAAAACGUAGGAGGCGAGCGUUAUCCGGAUUUACUGGGCGUAAAGCGCGUGCAGGCGGAUUGGAGAGUUGGAUGUGAAAGCUCCCGGCUUAACUGGGAGAGGUCGUUCAAUACUUCCAGUCUUGAGUGCAGUAGAGGGAAGUGGAAUUCCGGGUGUAGUGGUGAAAUGCGUAGAUAUCCGGAGGAACACCAGUGGCGAAAGCGGCCGACUGGACCUGACCUGACGCUGAGGCGCGAAGGCGUGGGGAGCGAACG